AGAGUUUGAUCCUGGCUCAGGACGAACGCUGGCGGCACGCUUAACACAUGCAAGUCGAACGAGAGAAGAGGAGCUUGCUUUUCUGAUCUAGUGGCGGACGGGUGAGUAACACGUGAGCAAUCUGCCUUUCAGAGGGGGAUACCGAUUGGAAACGAUCGUUAAUACCGCAUAACAUAAUUGAACCGCAUGAUUUGAUUAUCAAAGAUUUAUCGCUGAAAGAUGAGCUCGCGUCUGAUUAGCUAGUUGGUAAGGUAACGGCUUACCAAGGCGACGAUCAGUAGCCGGACUGAGAGGUUGAUCGGCCACAUUGGGACUGAGACACGGCCCAGACUCCUACGGGAGGCAGCAGUGGGGAAUAUUGCACAAUGGAGGAAACUCUGAUGCAGCGAUGCCGCGUGAGGGAAGAAGGUUUUAGGAUUGUAAACCUCUGUCUUCAGGGACGAAAAAAGACGGUACCUGAGGAGGAAGCUCCGGCUAACUACGUGCCAGCAGCCGCGGUAAUACGUAGGGAGCGAGCGUUGUCCGGAAUUACUGGGUGUAAAGGGAGCGUAGGCGGGAUCGCAAGUCAGAUGUGAAAACUAUGGGCUUAACCCAUAAACUGCAUUUGAAACUGUGGUUCUUGAGUGAAGUAGAGGUAAGCGGAAUUCCUAGUGUAGCGGUGAAAUGCGUAGAUAUUAGGAGGAACAUCAGUGGCGAAGGCGGCUUACUGGGCUUUAACUGACGCUGAGGCUCGAAAGCGUGGGGAGCAAACAGGAUUAGAUACCCUGGUAGUCCACGCCGUAAACGAUGAUUACUAGGUGUGGGAGGACUGACCCCUUCCGUGCCGCAGCAAACGCAAUAAGUAAUCCACCUGGGGAGUACGACCGCAAGGUUGAAACUCAAAGGAAUUGACGGGGGCCCGCACAAGCAGUGGAGUAUGUGGAUUAAUUCGAAGCAACGCGAAGAACCUUACCAGGUCUUGACAUCGUAUGCAUAGCUCAGAGAUGAGUGAAAUCUCUUCGGAGACAUAUAGACAGGUGGUGCAUGGUUGUCGUCAGCUCGUGUCGUGAGAUGUUGGGUUAAGUCCCGCAACGAGCGCAACCCUUACUGUUAGUUGCUACGCAAGAGCACUCUAGCAGGACUGCCGUUGACAAAACGGAGGAAGGUGGGGAUGACGUCAAAUCAUCAUGCCCCUUAUGACCUGGGCCUCACACGUACUACAAUGGCUGUCAACAGAGGGAAGCAAAGCCGCGAGGUGGAGCGAACCCCUAAAAGCAGUCUUAGUUCGGAUUGUAGGCUGCAACCCGCCUACAUGAAGUCGGAAUUGCUAGUAAUCGCAGAUCAGCAUGCUGCGGUGAAUACGUUCCCGGGCCUUGUACACACCGCCCGUCACGCCAUGGGAGUCGGUAACACCCGAAGCCUGUAGUCUAACCGCAAGGAGGACGCAGUCGAAGGUGGGAUUGAUGACUGGGGUGAAGUCGUAACAAGGUA
rnacentral:rRNA from 1 species